UGAUCAUGGCUCAGAGUGAACGCUGGCGGCGUGCUUAACACAUGCAAGUCGAACGAGAAACGGUCUAGCUUGCUAGAUGCAGUCUAAGUGGCAGCACGGGUGAGUAAUAUAUAGGUAAUAUGCCUCUUACUAAGGGAUAACAGAUGGAAACGUCUGCUAAUACCUUAUAUGCCUUUAGGACUAAAGUCCGCAAGGGAAAGAUUUAUCGGUAAGAGAUUAGCCUGUACAGUAUCAGUUAGUUGGUGAGGUAAUGGCUCACCAAGACUAUGACACUUAACUGGUUUGAGAGGAUGAUCAGUCACACUGGAACUGAGACACGGUCCAGACUCCUACGGGAGGCAGCAGUGGGGAAUAUUGCACAAUGGACGAAAGUCUGAUGCAGCAACGCCGCGUGGAGGAUGACCAUUUCGGUGCGUAAACUCUUUAUAUGAGAAGAUAUGA
rnacentral:rRNA from 1 species